AACGAACGCUGGCGGCAUGCCUAACACAUGCAAGUCGAACGAAGGCUUCGGCCUUAGUGGCGCACGGGUGCGUAACGCGUGGGAACCUGCCCCUUGGUUCGGAAUAACAGUUAGAAAUGACUGCUAAUACCGGAUGAUGACGAAAGUCCAAAGAUUUAUCGCCGAGGGAUGGGCCCGCGUAGGAUUAGCUAGUUGGUGAGGUAAUGGCUCACCAAGGCGACGAUCCUUAGCUGGUCUGAGAGGAUGAUCAGCCACACUGGGACUGAGACACGGCCCAGACUCCUACGGGAGGCAGCAGUGGGGAAUAUUGGACAAUGGGGGGAACCCUGAUCCAGCAAUGCCGCGUGAGUGAUGAAGGCCUUAGGGUUGUAAAGCUCUUUUACCAGGGAUGAUAAUGACAGUACCUGGAGAAUAAGCUCCGGCUAACUCCGUGCCAGCCGCCGCAGUAAAAC
rnacentral:rRNA from 1 species